rnacentral:rRNA from 1 species
AGAUUGAACGCUGGCGGCAGGCCUAACACAUGCAAGUCGAGCGGUAGAGAGGUGCUUGCAUCUCUUGAGAGCGGCGGACGGGUGAGUAAUGCCUAGGAAUCUGCCUAGUGGUGGGGGAUAACGUUCGGAAACGGACGCUAAUACCGCAUACGUCCUACGGGAGAAAGCGGGGGACCUUCGGGCCUCGCGCCAUUAGAUGAGCCUAGGUCGGAUUAGCUAGUUGGUGAGGUAAUGGCUCACCAAGGCGACGAUCCGUAACUGGUCUGAGAGGAUGAUCAGUCACACUGGAACUGAGACGCGGUCCAGACUCCUACGGGAGCAGCAGUGGGGAAUAUUGGACAAGUGGGCGAAAGCCUGAUCCAGCCAUGCCGCGUGUGUGAAGAAGGUCUUCGGA